AGCAGCCGCCGCGGUAAUACGUAGGUCCCGAGCGUUGUCCGGAUUUAUUGGGCGUAAAGCGAGCGCAGGCGGUUAGAUAAGUCUGAAGUUAAAGGCUGUGGCUUAACCAUAGUACGCUUUGGAAACUGUUUAACUUGAGUGCAAGAGGGGAGAGUGGAAUUCCAUGUGUAGCGGUGAAAUGCGUAGAUAUAUGGAGGAACACCGGUGGCGAAAGCGGCUCUCUGGCUUGUAACUGACGCUGAGGCUCGAAAGCGUGGGGAGCAAACAGGAUUAGAUACCCCUGUAGUCCCUGUCUCUUAUACA
rnacentral:rRNA from 1 species